rnacentral:rRNA from 1 species
GACGGGGGGUCCUAGCGUUGUUCGGAAUUAUUGGGCGUAAAGCGUGUGCAGGUUGUUUAAAAAGUUAGAUGUGAAAUCCUUGGGCUCAACCCAAGACGUGCAUUUAAAACUGUUAGACUUGAGUAUGGAAGAGGGUCGUGGAAUUCCAGGUGUAGUGGUGAAAUACGUAGAUAUCAGGAGGAACACCGGUGGCGAAGGCGGGUCUCUGGGCAGUAACUGACGCUGAGGAGCGAAAGCGUGGGGAGCGAACAGG